CUAUAACAUACUAAAAGUUAUGUCCAAUUUGUGCCCCCCUAGAACUGCUGUUGCCAAAAUGGCCCUGUAAUGUGUAUGUUAGAUAAGUGCAGGGAGAUUCUCAUGGCUAAUCCCUUGUAAGUAUCAUUAAGCUUUAAAUGAUUGAUAGAAUUUUAUGAUACUGUGACUUUUAAUUUCUACUUGUUUUAAUUGUAAUUUACUGUAAAAUAGCUUCAUGAGUUUAUGAAUGAAGACGAUUAUUUGCACUAAUUGAUGGAGCCACCCACGGACUCGAUAAAUAGCUUUGCAGUGCAGUCUGGGUAAUCUGCCCCUGAGGAAGUAUCUGAGAUACGAAACGCGUUGGGCUAAUGUUUGUUCAUUUCAAAAUAUUGAAUAAAUUAACCAUUUCAGCAAGAUAAAGCUGCGAUCCUAAUUUCUUGUUAUGUGCGACCCCCUAAAGAAGUCAUCUUGAUAUUAAACUGAAGGAAAAUAGAAGCCGUUUGUACAAACACCACGAGGAAAAAACGCCGACAACUGGAAGUACCGAGAGGCUCCGGUGAAGGAUCCAAAGAAAACCCGACAUCUAUCAGCGCAACUCCCGUGUGCUAAAAAUAAAAGAUUGUCUCCCGCAAACCGGCAUUACAGCAAUGGAUUCCCCUUGGCAACAGGCAGCGCGGCGACAUGUACAACCGGCAACAAGAGACGAUCGCUACGACCAAUCAGGACUGCGCGUAUAAUUCAUUAAGGGCCGACUGCAUGUGAGAGUCGCUAAGUGCAAUUACCCGCAGACGAUUCUUCAAUUCCUGACGGUACUUCACUCUCCUCAGUUUAAAGCAACAGGUACAGUGAGCGCUGGGGACAGACGGAAGACGAGCCCUGCUCCCAUAUAAAAGGCAAACACAUGGGCAUCUAAGUCAACGGCACUUCCUGCUUUAUGGUGGUCAGCGAGUCGCGGAUCAGUUUGCAGAUCAGGCAGUUGCGGGUCAGUGAGGCGUGGGACGCCAAGAGAAUCCAGCGCCCAGAGACAGAUCCAUGGGCAGCCUGUAUUGCAAAGAAGGCUAGCGGUCCGGACUUCCCCCGCUGAGAGCCGAUAGGCCCCCGUGACAAUUGCACCUUCACAGCAAUGACCUUGGGUGCCGCUGGCCAGGCUUUGGGUGUACAGAACGUUCAAGCAAGAGAUGGGGUAUGUAGGACAGAAAAUAGACAUCCACCAAAAGGCUUAAGCUACUUGGCCUUCAAGAUGAUCUUUCAGUGAUAUUUACGAAAAAAGACACCCAACAUCUUAUCCUGGCCUUCAAACUUGGCAUUCAGGGGUACUUAGGAGAACAAAUAUGCUUUCUCCCCAAAUCUCACCCUAGCUACCCCUCAGGCUUUCAUCUGUCACUGCCCCCAAGGGUGUCAAGCCCUACAGUCUGGGAACCUCAGAUAAGAACCCAACACAACCUUGCCACACACACACCAUCGGAAACCACAACGCGUCUCUGAGCAACGUUUGCACGGAUAGAAGACUAAAAUCUCAUUAGAAUCUCCCGGCAGAAUAAUUAUUUCCAUGUUAUUGCGUGUGAUUAUUGAAUGGGAGUCCAUAGAGCAGACUGACGAGGAUUCACUUCUAUCAGCAAAGACACGUUUUCUCCUCCACAAUAAAUGGCCCACUAAUGAUGACAUCACUUCUGGUUUCCAGCAAUGGCACUUCCUGCUUUAUGGUGG